GGGAGGGGACUCGAGGAGCAGCCCCCCCUUUUCUAUCAGCGAGGGAGAAGGGGUAGGUGGAACCCGGCACGGAGGAGAGCGGGGAGGCUCCGGGGAUGGGCUCGGGAAGUGCUCUGGGGAUGCUCUCAAAUGCGCCGGGGAUGCUCUCAGGUGUUACUCUCGGGCGAUGCUCUGGGAAUGCUCUCCAGGGAUGCUCAGGUGGUGCUGCUAUGAUGCCCUGGGGAUGCUCUCCAGGGAUGUUUUCUGAUGAUGCUCCCAGGGGAUGCUCAGGGAAUGCUCAGAGGAUGCUCAGGGGAUGCUUUGAUGAUGCUCAGGGGAUGCUCAGGGGACGCUCUGCAGUGCUGUUUGCUGGUGACACUCCCAGGUGUUGCUCAGGUGAUGCUCUCAGGGGAUGCUUUCAUGAUGCUCAGGGGAUGCUCAGAGGAUGCUCAGGGGAUGCUCAGGGGACUCUGCAGUGCUGUUUGCUGGUGGCACUCCCAGGUGUUGCUCAGGUGAUGCUCUCAGGUGACGCUUUCACGAUGCUCUGAGGAUGCUCUGGGGAUGCUCUCCAGUGACGUUUUUUGGGGAUGUCUCAGGUGAUGCUCUGGUGGUGCUCUGGUGACUCUGGUGAUGCUCAGGUGAUGCUGAGGGGAUGUCUCAGGUGAUGCUGAGGGGAUGCUCAGGUGAUGCUGAGAUGAUGUUCAGGUGAUACUGAGAUGAUGUUCAGGUGAUGCUCAGGUGAUGUCUCAGGUGAUGCUGAGAUGAUGCUCAUGUGAUGCUGAGAAGAUGUCUCAGGUGAUACUGAGAUGAUGCUCAUGUGAUGCUGAGAAGAUGUCUCAGGUGAUGCUGAGAUGAUGCUCAGGUGAUGCUGAGAUGAUGUUCAGGUGAUGCUGAGGGGAUGUCUCAGGUGAUGCUCAGGUGAUGCUCUGGUGAUGCUCUGGUGACUCUGGUGAUGCUCAGGUGAUGCUGAGAUGAUGCUCUGGUGAUGUUGAGGGGAUGCUCUGGUGAUGUUGAGGGUAUGCUCAGGUGAUGCUCAGGUGAUGUUGAGGGGAUGCUCAGGUGAUGCUCAGGUGAUGUCUCAGGUGAUCCUCAGGUGAUGCUGUCCAGUGCUGUUUUCCAGUGACACCCCCUCGGUGACAUCCCCAGGUGACACCCCCAGGUGACACCCCCAGGUGACACACCCCGAUGUCGCUCCAGUGACACCCCAGGUGACACCCCAUGUGACACGUGCAGAUGACAUGCACAGGUGACACCCCCAGGUGACACCUCCAGUGACACCACCAGGUGACACACCCCGAUGUCGCUCCAGUGACACCCGCAGGUGACACCUCCAGGUGACACCCCCAGGUGUCGCUCCAGUGACAACCCCAGUGACACCCCCAGGUGACACUCCCUGGUGUCGCUCCAGUGACACUCCCAGGAGACACCCCCAGUGACACCCCCAGGGUGACACCCCAGGUGACACUCCCAGGAGACACCCCCAGUGACACCCCCAGGGUGACACCCCAGGUGACACGCCCAGGUGACACUCCCUGGUGUCGCUCCAGUGACACGCCCAGGUGACACGCUCAGGUGACACACCCAGUGACACCCCCAGGUGACACCCCAGGUGCCACCCCCGGUGACAGCCGCGGUGUCGCCCCUGCCCGGUGUCCCCGCCCGUCCCCGCGGGCAGCGCCGGCACCGGCAGAGCUCGGGCGGCCCCUCCCUGGAGCGGAUCCCGCCACCCCCGGGCCCUCCCGAGGGGACAGCCGGGGUGGCACUGAGGGGACAGGGAGGUGACAACCGGGGUGGCACUGAGGGGACAGGGAGGUGACAGUGAGGGUGGCACUGAGGCUGGCACUGAGGUGACAGAGAGGG